GACGAACGCUGGCGGCGUGCUUAACACAUGCAAGUCGAACGGAAAGGCCUGCUUUCCCUUGUGGAUUGCGGGUGCUCGAGUGGCGAACGGGUGAGUAACACGUGAGUGAUCUGCCCCCAACUUGGGUAUAAGCCUGGGAAACUGGGUCUAAUUCCCGAUAGGACUGCAGGGUGGUGCCUGUGGUGGAAAACGAUUUUCUAGUGGUUGGGGAUGAGCUCGCGGCCUAUCAGCUUGUUGGUGGGGUAAUGGCCUACCAAGGCGGCGACGGGUAGCCGGCCUGAGAGGGUGGACGGCCACAUUGGGACUGAGAUACGGCCCAGACUCCUACGGGAGGCAGCAGUGGGGAAUAUUGCACAAUGGGCGGAAGCCUGAUGCAGCGACGCCGCGUGGGGGAUGACGGCCUUCGGGUUGUAAACUCCUUUCGACCGCGAGGAAGCCACCUGGUUGGGAGGGUGGUGACGGUAGUGGUAGAAGAAGCACCGGCUAACUACGUG
rnacentral:rRNA from 1 species